GAUGAACGCUGGCGGCGUGCCUAAUACAUGCAAGUCGAGCGAACAGACGAGGAGCUUGCUCCUCUGACGUUAGCGGCGGACGGGUGAGUAACACGUGGAUAACCUACCUAUAAGACUGGGAUAACUUCGGGAAACCGGAGCUAAUACCGGAUAAUAUAUUGAACCGCAUGGUUCAAUAGUGAAAGACGGUUUUGCUGUCACUUAUAGAUGGAUCCGCGCCGCAUUAGCUAGUUGGUAAGGUAACGGCUUACCAAGGCAACGAUGCGUAGCCGACCUGAGAGGGUGAUCGGCCACACUGGACCUGAGACACGUCCCAGCUUCCUACGGGAGGCAGCAGUAGGGAAUCUUCCGCAAUGGGCGAAAGCCUGACGGAGCAACGCCGCGUGAGUGAUGAAGGUCUUCGGACCGUAAAACUCUGUUAUUAGGGAAGAACAAAUGUGUAAGUACCUAUGCACGUCUGGACGGUACCUAAUCAGAAAGCCACGCCUAACUACGU
rnacentral:rRNA from 1 species